rnacentral:rRNA from 2 species
AAAUUGAAGAGUUUGAUCAUGGCUCAGAUUGAACGCUGGCGGCAGGCCUAACACAUGCAAGUCGAGCGGUAGCACAGAGAGCUUGCUCUCGGGUGACGAGCGGCGGACGGGUGAGUAAUGUCUGGGAAACUGCCUGAUGGAGGGGGAUAACUACUGGAAACGGUAGCUAAUACCGCAUAAUGUCGCAAGACCAAAGUGGGGGACCUUCGGGCCUCAUGCCAUCAGAUGUGCCCAGAUGGGAUUAGCUAGUAGGUGGGGUAACGGCUCACCUAGGCGACGAUCCCUAGCUGGUCUGAGAGGAUGACCAGCCACACUGGAACUGAGACACGGUCCAGACUCCUACGGGAGGCAGCAGUGGGGAAUAUUGCACAAUGGGCGCAAGCCUGAUGCAGCCAUGCCGCGUGUGUGAAGAAGGCCUUCGGGUUGUAAAGCACUUUCAGCGGGGAGGAAGGCGAUAAGGUUAAUAACCUUGUCGAUUGACGUUACCCGCAGAAGAAGCACCGGCUAACUCCGUGCCAGCAGCCGCGGUAAUACGGAGGGUGCAAGCGUUAAUCGGAAUUACUGGGCGUAAAGCGCACGCAGGCGGUCUGUCAAGUCGGAUGUGAAAUCCCCGGGCUUAACCUGGGAACUGCAUUCGAAACUGGCAGGCUAGAGUCUUGUAGAGGGGGGUAGAAUUCCAGGUGUAGCGGUGAAAUGCGUAGAGAUCUGGAGGAAUACCGGUGGCGAAGGCGGCCCCCUGGACAAAGACUGACGCUCAGGUGCGAAAGCGUGGGGAGCAAACAGGAUUAGAUACCCUGGUAGUCCACGCCGUAAACGAUGUCGAUUUGGAGGUUGUGCCCUUGAGGCGUGGCUUCCGGAGCUAACGCGUUAAAUCGACCGCCUGGGGAGUACGGCCGCAAGGUUAAAACUCAAAUGAAUUGACGGGGGCCCGCACAAGCGGUGGAGCAUGUGGUUUAAUUCGAUGCAACGCGAAGAACCUUACCUGGUCUUGACAUCCACAGAACUUUCCAGAGAUGGAUUGGUGCCUUCGGGAACUGUGAGACAGGUGCUGCAUGGCUGUCGUCAGCUCGUGUUGUGAAAUGUUGGGUUAAGUCCCGCAACGAGCGCAACCCUUAUCCUUUGUUGCCAGCGGUUCGGCCGGGAACUCAAAGGAGACUGCCAGUGAUAAACUGGAGGAAGGUGGGGAUGACGUCAAGUCAUCAUGGCCCUUACGACCAGGGCUACACACGUGCUACAAUGGCAUAUACAAAGAGAAGCGACCUCGCGAGAGCAAGCGGACCUCAUAAAGUAUGUCGUAGUCCGGAUUGGAGUCUGCAACUCGACUCCAUGAAGUCGGAAUCGCUAGUAAUCGUAGAUCAGAAUGCUACGGUGAAUACGUUCCCGGGCCUUGUACACACCGCCCGUCACACCAUGGGAGUGGGUUGCAAAAGAAGUAGGUAGCUUAACCUUCGGGAGGGCGCUUACCACUUUGUGAUUCAUGACUGGGGUGAAGUCGUAACAAGGUAACCGUAGGGGAACCUGCGGUUGGAUCACCUCCUUACCUUAAAGAA